rnacentral:rRNA from 1 species
AACGUAGGACACAAGCGUUAUCCGGAGUUACUGGGCGUAAAGGGCGUGUAGGCGGAGAUGUAAGUCUAUUCUGAAAGCUCCUGGCUAAACUGGGAGAGGCGAAUGGAGACUGCAUAUCUAGAGUGAGGAAGAGGAAAGUGGAAUUCCGGGUGUAGCGGUGGAAUGCGUAGAGAUCCGGAAGAACACCGGUGGCGAAGGCGGCCUGCUGGGCAGUUUGGCUGACACUGAGGCGCGACAGCGUGGGGAGCAAACAGG